UGGCUCGGAACGAACGCUGGCGGCGCGUUUAAGCAUGCAAGUCGAGCGGCAAGGGCCUUCGGGCCCCUAGAGCGGCGGACGGGUGAGUAACACGUGGGUAACCUGCCCAUAAGAGGGGGAUAACAUCCGGAAACGGGUGCUAAUACCGCAUAGUUUUCUUGAUCGCAUGAUCGGGAAAGGAAAGACGGCCUUUGUGCUGUCGCUUAUGGAUGGACCCGCGGCGUAUUAGUUAGUUGGUGAGGUAACGGCUCACCAAGACGAUGAUACGUAGCCGACCUGAGAGGGUGAUCGGCCACAUUGGGACUGAGACACGGCCCAAACUCCUACGGGAGGCAGCAGUAGGGAAUCUUCCGCAAUGGACGAAAGUCUGACGGAGCAACGCCGCGUGAGUGAAAGAAGGUUUUCGGAUCGUAAAACUCUGUUGUCAGAGAAGAACAAGUUGGAGAGUAACUGCUCCAGCCUUGACGGUAUCUGACCAGAAAGCCACGGCUAACUACGUGCCAGCCGCCGC
rnacentral:rRNA from 1 species